rnacentral:rRNA from 1 species
UGGGGAAUAUUGGGCAAUGGGGGAAACCCUGACCCAGCAACGCCGCGUGAGGGAAGAAGGUUUUCGGAUUGUAAACCUCUGUCCUUGGUGAAGAGGAGAAGACGGUAGCCAAGGAGGAAGCCCCGGCUAACUACGUGCCAGCAGCCGCGGUAAUACGUAGGGGGCGAGCGUUGUCCGGAAUGAUUGGGCGUAAAGGGCGCGUAGGCGGCUGAGCAAGUCUGGAGUGAAAGUCCUAUUUUCAAGGUAGGAAUUGCUUUGGAAACUGCUUAGCUUGAGUGCAGGAGAGGUUAUCGGAAUUCCCGGUGUAGCGGUGAAAUGCGUAGAGAUCGGGAGGAACACCAGUGGCGAAGGCGGGUAACUGGACUGCAACUGACGCUGAGGCGCGAAAGUGUGGGGAGCAAACAGG